UUUCAGGCUCAGGCAGAAUCUGUUCUAGACCUUUCUUCCCUGCUUACUCUCCCUGGACAAUUUCAUGGCUUCCAUUUAUACCUUGAUGACUCCCAAAGCUAAACAUCCACCUCACCCCUCUCUCCUGAGAUCCAGUCCUAGCCCAUGUAGCAAACCUGCUGGAUGUCUCAAACUGUUCUUUUAGCUAUCCUCAAGCUUUCCACAGCAAAAGGAGCUAUAUUCUCUCAUAAUAGUUGUUCAAAGGCUCUCACAUAUAAGACUCUGGUCCCAGACCUUCAUGGCUUUGCCUUCCUUUAACUACAUUGUAUCCUGAGGCCUGGAAUAGGACCAUGAGCUGGGAACGUGUGAUUUUUUUCCAUGGCACUGAUGUUGGUAAUUAUGGGCUUAGACACUUAUUUAAGUAGAUGCUUAUAAAUGUCUAAGCCCGUAAUUACCAACAUCAGUGCCACAAAAUUGAAUCUAAGACACUUAAGUUCAAUUCAAGAAACCUUUCCUAGGCACCCUUUCUGUGCAAGACCUAUGCAUGAUGCUGGGCAGACAGAAGAAUCAGACAUGGCCCCUGAGACUGCCUGAAGGCAGUUGACAUGGACUGGGAUAGCCUUUGAAAUCAUUGUUGAUCACCAGCCUUGGAAUCAGACAAUCCUGGGUUUGAAUCACUGUUAAUAGUUUUGCGGUGUGAGUGAAUUCCUAACUUAUUUAAUUUUGAGUUUCUUCAUCUGUAAAAUGGAGAUAAUGAUAUAUCUGAGUACAGUUACAUGAAGUUUAAAUGGAAAAAAUGCGGGUAGUCUAACAAAUGAUGCCUUUCAUUAUAUUCAGGAAGUAAUUACGAUUCCUUACGAGAUGUCCUCCUGUUUCCUCAGUAUGGAUUAUAUCAAGACCACCUUCUGGUUUAAAGAAGCCUCCUAUGAGUAUAGAGAGUAAAUGGCGAGGAUAAGGAACAUUCCAUAAAACAAAGGGAAAUGGCUAAGGCUGCAUAGAUUCCAAACCACAGCUUUCCCAGCACUGUGUUCAAACCAGCUGACUUAGUUACGAAAUCCUGGAAAACUACCACCUAUUCAUAGUACACCUUGGGUAAAUAAUUUAGGCUCUCUGAACCUAAGGCUCCUAAUCUGUGCAGUGGGAGAGAAGAGUUUGGAAAUAUUCCCACCUCAUAGAAUAAUCAUGAGGAUUACCCAUGAGCAUGUUAUUUUAUGUGUACCUGGCACAGUGUUGUUGGUGUAUGUGAGUUCUCUCUGAUUAUACCUACUCUUCCAAAGAGGAAGGACAAAUGCGUCCCUAGUCAUCAGAGCUGAUGUAACAGAAAGAACAGGGAGAUUGGAGUUGUAAGUUUUGGAUCUAGUCAUUUGUUCAUCAUUCAUUCGCUAAAGACUUAAGCAUCUACUCAGUGCCCAACCCUGUGUUAGGUCUUAUUAGGGAUAUAGAGCAAGUAAUAACACCACUGUCCCCUGUUCUUAUGGAAAUGACACACUCCUGGGGAGGCAAGCACCAGUGGCACAUAAAAUGUAAACUUACUUGAAACUUACAAGAGGGCCAUGUGCUGCUCUGUGUUUGGAUCCAAGUGCAUUAACAACAGUACUUUAGGAGCUAGAAGGGAGAGGUGACUAGGCUUGAGCACCCAGAGAGAGGCCGCUUACUGCAGGAGGAGGGGUACAGAAUGGACUUUACUAAAUGGGAUCAUCUUAUUCCUCCACUAAUUAACGAAGUGGCCUUGGGCAGGUCACUUGACUAAUCAUGGCCUCAGUUUCAUCAUCUCAGAAAAGAAUUUCAGUAUUUUUGUGCACAAUUGUAUAGGGUAGAUUUUGAGAAUCAACUUUAAAAAUGGAUAGAAGAGUACACUGAAAACUUUUUGAAUCCUGUGUAACUGGGGUAAGAACCAUAGGAUGUAAUGACCAGAAGAACUUUCAAGCCCAUUCCUUUAUUUUAUAAAUAGAGAAUCUGAGGCUGAGAAAAUCUGCUGUCUCUACUUAUGGGGGCUCUGGGUCUCAUAUCCUUUAGUCUCCUUAGGGAUCUUCUUUAUCAGUCAUCGCUGUUCAUUCUCAAUCAUUGUCGCGUUAGUUAUGAGCUUACAGUGUUCUGUAAGACAGUAUGAGGAAGUGCUUAGUACAAUGCCUGGCACAUGCUUAAGUGCUCAGAUAGUAACUUAUUAUUGUAAUAAUACAUUUUGAAUCCUUAACGUAGCUUACAGAAUCCUUAAUGGUUUGGCCCCUGCUUACCUCUCCAGCCUUAUUAUUAAACACUCUCAUAAGCACCAUGCCAAGCUUCUUGUAUUCCAAGCCAUUUCAAGCCUGCCUUCCUUCCUGGGUCCCUCUUGGAUUGUGAACUUCCCUUUCUUAUGCUCUUACAGCCCCAUGUGCCCAGUUUUAUCAUAGGAAUGACAUGCUGCAUUAAAAUGUUGGUUUUUGUGUUUACUCCCCUACUGGACUGUAAAUCCCCUGAGGACAAGAACUGUUUCUUCUGUGUGUCUCUGGCCCACAGUAAAUGUACACUAAAUAGGACAGAAGGAAAAAGUGAAGGGAAAUGAUUGGCACAAGGUUACAAUUACUUGUAUUACGAUCCUCAGCAAGACUUGAUAAUUGGGUCCAGAGUAUUGAGGUGAGGUUGGAAAUGGGGAGGUAGGUCCUGGGCUCCUGGAAUGACCUAUGAGGCUGCAUAAGAGAGGGCUGUUUUGGUCCCUGAAGUUGCCUUGCUUUGAUUCCUCUCCAGGGAAGUUCCAGAUGCAGGUCCUACCCCAGUGUGGCCAUGCAGUCCAUGAGGAUGCCCCUGACAAGGUAGCUGAAGCUGUUGCCACUUUCCUGAUCCGGCACAGGUUUGCAGAACCCAUCGGUGGAUUCCAGUGUGUGUUUCCUGGCUGUUAGUGACCUGCUGUCCACCUCUCCUCAACAUCGAGCUCUGUUGUAAAUAUGUCGCACCAGAGGCCACUGUGAUGCCACUGUCUCCUCUCCAUCCCGCCCAGCCAUGUGACACUGGCUCCCUGUAGACGGGCACCCCGAGAUGUACCAACCUUUUCAUGUAUUCUGCCAAAAGCAUUGUUUUCCAGGGCCCUUGACCAACAUUGGCUUCCCCAGUCCAGGGCUCCCCUGCUCCUUUCCCUUCCCUGUACUGGGGUAGCUCCUGCCUGCUCUCCCUGCGUUGCCUAGGGUAAAGCCUCCAGAUUUGCCAUACUGAGCCCCUCUCUUCCUAGCAUCAGGAGAUACAUCUGAGUCCAAAUGUCUUCCCAGGCUCAGGGACCUCCAUCCCUUGAGAUUGUCUUGGCAUGGCCCAGCCCUGCCUUAUGGGAUGGACAAUGCAUGGGGUGGUCUUUAUUUUUCCCUUUCAAAUAAAACACUAGUCGGGUACCAUUUUAUCCCAGUCGUACUCUUCCAGGUUUGGAAGACCCAGAGAGGCCAAGAUCCCAUCCUUAGCCAUAGCGAGCGGUGGUGGUGGAUAGCAUCACAAGAAACCAGCCUGAAAAUCAGGUCCAGCCAGUCCAAGCACAUGGCCUCCCAUCUGGGAGAGCCCACUGUCCCACUCCCACAUGUCUGGGCACCUGCCCUGGGCUGAGGCCAGGCUGCUCCAGGGGCCUCCUGAGCCCUCACCUGCCACAGAGCAACCCAGGUUAAAUACAGCCCAUGCACAAAGCCACAGGCCAAAGCCUAUGGAAUUGUUUUUAAUCAUCAAAUUUAACCAUUUUCAUAACUGGUUCCUGGAGGUGUGCAGUGCCCCCUUGCCUCUUCAAACCUACAGCUUCUCUUUGCCAUUUGUGGAUUUCACAUCACUCCACACAGAAACAUUACAGCCUGGCAUCCCCAGUCUUUGCCUUCUUCCAGCUGCCUCGACACAGCACUGCGGCCUGUCCCUAUUGCCCAGGCACGCCAUUUCCAAGGGCAGGAAGGGGCAGUGUCCUGAAGCCCAUCUUUUCUGUGACUGUCUUAGGUGAUGUGUAGCCCCUCCACCUUUUCACUCAACAACCUCCCACCCCUGUCCUGCUGCAUGGUCCAGAAUCUGGGACCUACUUUGUUUUUUGUUAUUUAUGACCUUGUUUAAAGAAAAUAAAUAUCUCCCAACCUUU
rnacentral:sRNA from 1 species